CACACUGAUGGAAGGUGGAAAUGUGACAUUUUAACCUGUCUUGUCUUAUUUAUAAAUCAUAACAAAAGGCAUCCAAAAGCUGAGAGAUUUGGAGAAUGGAGAGAAGGGCGAGUUGGCCGAGUGAAGAUGAGGUAAAUAAAAUGAGAGAAAUAGCGAGUUCAAUGUCGGGGAGGAGGUGCGAGGAAGUCCGAGUGGUGGUGUCUCCUUAUAGGAUUUGUCCCCUCGGCGCUCACAUUGAUCAUCAGGGUGGAAUUGUUUCCGCCAUGACCAUCAACAAAGGAAUUCUCUUGGCCUUUGUUCCUUCACCUGAUUCCCAGGUCACAUUAGGCUCCGCACAAUUUAGUGGAACCAUUAGCUUCAGUGUUGACCAACUUCAAUUCCCCAAACCAAUUAUCAAAAAAGAAGACUCUAACUGGGGACAUUUUGCCAGAGGAGCUCUCUAUGCAUUACAGAGUAGGGGACACACUAUUACACAGGGCAUCACAGGAUUUAUCAGUGGAUCUGAAGGUUUUGACAGCUCUGGCCUCAGUUCUUCCGCUGCUGUUGGAAUUGCUUAUCUGUUGGCUUUGGAAAAUGCAAAUAACUUAACUUUUCCUCCAACUGUAAAUAUUGAAUAUGACCGGAUUAUUGAAAAUGAAUAUUUUGGCCUGCGAAAUGGCAUACUUGAUCAAUCAGCCAUACUGCUUUCAAGCCAUGGUUGCCUAACAUGCAUGAACUGCAAGACUAAACAACACAAGCUUAUACUUCCGUCAAAGUCGUUGAAACCAUACAAAAUAUUAGUUGCAUUCUCGGGCCUCAGGGAUGCUUUGACCAACAACCCUGGAUACAAUCGUCGUGUUGCAGAGUGCCAAGAAGCUGCAAGAAUUCUACUUAAAGCUUCCGGAAAUGACAAUGUGGAGCCUGUUCUUUGCAACGUUGAACAAGAGGCAUAUCAAAUGUACAAGUGCAAGUUGGAUCCUAUUCUAGCCAAAAGAGCAGAACACUUUUUCUCAGAGAAUAUGCGGGUUAUCAAAGGACUUGAAGCUUGGGCUACCGGCAACAUAGAAGAAUUUGGGAGGCUCAUUUCAGCUUCUGGUUUAAGUUCUAUUCAAAAUUAUGAAUGCGUAUAGAGAUAGUACCAAAGGAAGAGGAUCAAACGGUGUUUCGGCUCAAGGAAAAUCUUUGUUUCACCAAGUGGUUGAAAGAUAUGGUAUGUGAAAAAAGUGAGCAAGAUCUAAGGUAGAUAUGAGAACCACUGCAGGUGAUUGUGUCUUCGUGGGAGGGAACUUGGUGUUAUGGAAAAAUAAGAAGCAUAAUAUUGUCUCUCGUUCAAGCGCGGAACUAAAAUACAGAUUUACGGCGCAGUCUGUUAGUGAAAUACUGUGGAUAUAUCAACUCGACAUAAGUGGGUCUUACAACUCCAUAACCAGAAAAAUUAUGGCUUGAUAAUCAGGUUGUGAGCCUUUGAUUCAACUGUAUGAGAUCCUUUUGAGGGCUCCAGGCAUUUUCGGGGCACGGUUUAGUGGUGCCGGAUUCAGAGGAUGUUGUGUUGCAUUUGUAGAUUCUAGUUUUGCAGGAGA